CCUACGGGAGACUGCAGUAGGGAAUAUUGCUCAAUGGGGGAAACCCUGAUGCAGCAACGCCGCGUGGAGGAUGAAGGUUUUCGGAUUGUAAACUCCUUUUGUUAGAGAGGAUUAUGACGGUAUCUAUCGACUAAGCACUGGCUAACUCCGUGCCAGCAGCCGCGGUAAUACGGAGGGUGCAAGCGUUACUCGGAAUCACUGGGCGUAAAGAGUGCGUAGGCGGGGUAAUAAGUCAGAUGUGAAAUCCUGUGGCUUAACUAAAGAAUUGCAUUUGAAACUGUUACUCUGGAGUGUUGGAGAGGGAGGUAGAAUUCUUGGUGUAGGGGUAAAAUGCGUAGAGAUGAAGAGGAAUACUCGUUGCGAAGGCGACCUGCUGGAAAAUUACUGACGCUGAUGUGCGAAAGCGUGGGGAGCAAACAGGAUUAGAUACCCUAGUAGUC
rnacentral:rRNA from 1 species